rnacentral:rRNA from 1 species
GACGAACGCUGGCGGCGUGCUUAACACAUGCAAGUCGAACGGAAAGGCCCUGCUUUUGUGGGGUGCUCGAGUGGCGAACGGGUGAGUAACACGUGAGUAACCUGCCCUUGACUUUGGGAUAACUUCAGGAAACUGGGGCUAAUACCGGAUAGGAGCUCCUGCUGCAUGGUGGGGGUUGGAAAGUUUCGGCGGUUGGGGAUGGACUCGCGGCUUAUCAGCUUGUUGGUGGGGUAGUGGCUUACCAAGGCUUUGACGGGUAGCCGGCCUGAGAGGGUGACCGGCCACAUUGGGACGGAGAUACGGCCCAGACUCCAACGGGAGGCAGCGGUGGGGAAUAUUGCACAAUGGGCGGAAGCCUGAUGCAGCAACGCCGCGUGCGGGAUGACGGCCUUCGGGUUGUGAACCGCUUUCGCCUGUGACGAAGCGUGAGUGACGGUAAUGGGUGAAGAAGCACCGGCUAACUACGUG